rnacentral:rRNA from 1 species
AGUGAACGCUGGCGGCGUGCCUAAUACAUGCAAGUCGAACGAGUGGCGCACGGGUGAGUAAUGUAUCGGAACGUACCGAGUAAUGGGGGAUAACUAAUCGAAAGAUUAGCUAAUACCGCCUAUUAUUCGAGCGGCCGAUAUCUGCUUAGCUAGUUGGUGGGGUAAAGGCCUACCACGGCGACGAUCAGUAGCGGGUCUGAGAGGAUGAUCCGUCACACUGGGACUGAGACACGGCCCAGACUCCUACGUGAGGCAGCAGUGGGUAAUGUUGGACAAUGGGCGCAAGCCUGAUCCAGCCAUGCCGCGUGUCUGAAGAAGGCCUUCGGGUUGUAAAGGACUUUUGUCAGGGAAGCGGUACCUGAAGAAUAAGCACCGGCUAACUACGUGCCAGCAGCCGCGGUAAUAC